rnacentral:lncRNA from 1 species
CUUUGGGUUAACGGUAACCUCAAACACUUCCCAAUCCCGUCUCCCAAGUGCCAUGUAGUUGAUUAUAGUCAUGUUUUAAAACAAGAAUAUGUGAUGCUCCACUGUUUCAUAAAUAAGAUACCUACACACUAUGAUGAUGAUGGUGAUAACUACUUUCAACUCCUGACUUCUUCUCAAGGAGGUGGCGUGAGAAAGUGGUGACAGACGCAGACUUUGCAGGCCAAUUACAGAAAUCUGGCUGGCAAAUGACCACAUUUUAAAUCUUUGUUUUUCUCCGUUAAAUGAACCUAAAGAUAGUCCCUACCAACUGUGGGCAUUAUCUGACAUAAUGUGUAUGAAUUGCCAGGGAUCCCUGGGUGGUUCAGCAAUUUAGCACCUGUCUUUGGCUCAGGGUGUGAUCCUGGAGUCCGGGAUCGAGUCUCAUAUGGGGCUCCCUGCAUGGAGCCUACUUCUACCUCUGCCUGUGUCUCUCCCUCUGUGUGUGUGUGUGUGUGUCUAUUAUGAAUAAAUAAAUAAAAUCUUUUUAAAAAUGUGUGUAAAUUGCCUAACCCAUAGGAAAACUCAACAAGACUGCUAUAAUUAUUACUGUGCCCCAGGUAUUAUUUGACUAGAAAUGUCUUUUUGUUUCAUUUCAUCCCCAGGGCCACCCAUUCUCUUUAAAGACCCAGGAGACAGAUUCAGCAGAGGUCAGUCACCGGCAGAAGGUUCCAUGGAUAACAAGCAGCAGAACCAAAAUUUGAACCAGUCUGUGUGUCUUCAGCCUGUUGUCUCCUCCUCAGCAAGGUGGGAGGAGCAGCUCUGGUUGCUGCAAACUCUCAAGUCAUUCCUCACGCCAAGACAUCUGGGGGUUUCCACUGAGUUGUAACUGCUGAACAUGAUGCAGACUGGGGACCGCCAAUAGUCUCAAAGCUGUAAGAAAAGGAAACUCACACCACACAGUUCCCUUCUCCCAGCAUCAAAUUGCCUCCUGGAUCCCUCUGCUUCGGCUUUCCUUCCAAUGCCCUCACAUAGUUUUUUUUUUUUUCUUAUGCUUUAUCCAGGGUACAUAGUUAUCCGCAACAAGGUUAAUCCAAUUGGAGGUUACUUGACUAUAAACAAAUGCAGAAGUCCAGGCUUGAGGGUCAUAAAGUCAAAAUCGCACUUAUUAGUAUAGUUUUUCAAGAAACACUGAGACUACCAAAGAGAAGUCUUCUUCAAUAUCUUUUUAUUUUUUUUACUGAAACUGAAAAAUCAUUGUCUACUGCAGAGAAUCUCCAUACAAAAUUCAUAGAUCUUCAACACUAGAGAGUCCUUUUGCAAUUUUAGAUGAUUUGUUUUAAAAACGCAAUCCCUAACAACUUCGAGUGGCAAUUGCUUUGGCUAAUGUAGGCAUUGUGAAAGAGUCUUAAGCCACAUCUGUUACAAAUAUCUUGUGAAGAUAAACCAGAAUUCGGGGAGUUCCAAUCAUCUCAUUUGCCCGAUAUGCUUACCAGUGAAGGUGAAGAAGUUGACGAUUCAGAAAUAUCUAUCAGUCGAAGGAGGUCUUGAGAUAAUGAAACAUGCUUAUACUUGCAUACUUCAGAGUUGGUAAUCUAAGAUUGACACAUUUGAGUUUGGGAUUAAGAAUUGGAGGAUAAUCACUUCCUGGCCUUUUGGCUAAGAUCAAGUUCUUAUGAGUUUAAGAUCUGAUACAUCCAAGGAUAAUAUAUUAAGUGGAUUUCUGGAGCAAGGAGUUGGAAGAGGAGCCUGCUCCAGCCACCCGUUGCAUGGACCUGGCAUUGCAAUACUUCCAGGAACGGGGCACCCCCCUCAGGGACAAUGGUAGCAGUGCAAAUGGCAGCUGGUUCUAGCUUUUGCAGUAGUCCCAUGGAGCAUGCACAGGGGAG